rnacentral:tRNA from 1 species
GAUAGCUUAGUUGGUAAAGAAUCCACUUGCAAUGCGGAAGACCUGGGUUCAAUCCCUGGUC